rnacentral:ncRNA from 1 species
UGAGGUAGAGGUCGCGAAUAUUAUAAGUACGCGCGCUGAGACGUUAAGAGCCGUCAAUGAAGCCGCCGAAAGGAAUAUCCGCCGAAGUCUGUGCCGCCGCUCUUCAUGCUGCACAGACUGGGGCCGUUGCCGAACAGGCACGGAACUGUCACAGUGUAC